UACGUAGGGUGCGAGCGUUAAUCGGAAUUACUGGGCGUAAAGCGUGCGCAGGCGGUUUUGUAAGCCAGAUGUGAAAGCCCCGGGCUUAACCUGGGAAUGGCAUUGAAUACUGAGUAACUGGAGUCGAACAGAGGGCAGUGGAAUUUCCGGUGUAGCGGUGAAAUGCGUAGAGAUCGGAAAGAACAUCAGUGGCGAAGGCGUCUGCCUGGGUUCAGACUGACACUUAAGUGCGAAAGCGUGGGGAGCAAACAGG
rnacentral:rRNA from 1 species